UGGUGAGGUAAAGGCUCACCAAGGCGACGAUCGGUAGCUGGUUUGAGAGGAUGAUCAGCCACACUGGGACUGAGACACGGCCCAGACUCCUACGGGAGGCAGCAGUGGGGAAUAUUGCGCAAUGGGGGAAACCCUGACGCAGCCAUGCCGCGUGAGUGAAGAAGGCCUUCGGGUUGUAAAGCUCUUUCAGAUGUGACGAUGAUGACGGUAGCAUCAGAAGAAGCCCCGGCUAACUUCGUGCCAGCAGCCGCGGUAAUACGAAGGGGGCAAGCGUUGUUCGGAAUCACUGGGCGUAAAGAGUUCGUAGGCGGUCUUGCCAGUCAGAGGUGAAAGCCCAGGGCUCAACCUUGGAACUGCCUUUGAUACUGCAAGACUAGAAUCCGUGAGAGGGUGGUGGAAUUCCCAGUGUAGAGGUGAAAUUCGUAGAUAUUGGGAGGAACACCAGUGGCGAAGGCGGCCACCUGGCGCGGUAUUGACGCUGAGGAACGAAAGCGUGGGGAGCAAACAGGAUUAGAU
rnacentral:rRNA from 1 species